rnacentral:lncRNA from 1 species
ACUGUUGGAGGAAGGCAUUACUGCCGCAUUACUUAAGCCUUGGUAGAGUCGAUGAAGCCUCGACUGUAAUGGUAAAUCCUUCUUUGUAUUCAUGACGUGCAAGGCUGCAACACUAUAUCAUUUACUGUUGCAUUUGUGAAGCUUUCAGCAUUGCAUUGUUGAAGUGUUCAUGGGUGUCGCUGCUGUUAGAGGAAGAUGUCACCACAACAUCGCAGAAGCCUU